rnacentral:rRNA from 2 species
UACGUAGGGUGCAGGCGUUAAUCGGAAUUACUGGGCGUAAAGCGUGCGCAGGCGGUUUGCUAAGACAGGUGUGAAAUCCCCGGGCUUAACCUGGGAACUGCGCUUGUAACUGGCAAGCUGGAGUGUGGCAGAGGGGGGUGGAAUUCCACGUGUAGCAGUGAAAUGCGUAGAGAUGUGGAGGAACACCGAUGGCGAAGGCAGCCCCCUGGGCUAACACUGACGCUCAUGCACGAAAGCGUGGGGAGCAAACAGG